rnacentral:sRNA from 1 species
UGUCGGUGGGGCAGAAUGUGCCCCCUGCAAAAUAUCCGUAACCGACGCUUAUUGAUUGCGUCGGUUAUUUUUUUGU